GAUUGCUGACGUGGCAUGUUGGUGGAGCCAAACUCUUUGGCUCCACCAACUUUUACAGUAGAUUUUAAGUCAUUUUUGUGUUUAAUUAAAAAGUGAGUCAUUUUAAUAAUUAAUUAAAGUUUUAGGUUAUUUUUAUAAAAAAAGUGGCCAUAAUGAUUUGCUUUGGGAAUUAUAUAGUUAAAUGCGUUAUUGAUGGCAAAUGAACUAUGAGGUGCUCUACAACAGCCUAAGAAGUGCUUAGACUGUUUAGAGGUGAGGACAAAACCUUGAGAGUGUAUUAGUUCUUUAGCAAUGCCCAAAGAAGAUUGUUGAGGUUUCAACUUCUUCGAAAGAAGCCUGUUAAGUGCCAUCAACCCAAAAUUGGUAAAUUCUUCAACAUGUCCGAUAUUGUCUCUAGUUAAAAUUGUCUCUUGACUCUACCGCCCCUAAAGUGAUGAUAGAUUCACAAAAUAAGAGUGCUUGAAUAAAUGAAUUAUCAAACAAAUUAAAAAGUUUACAAUUAAUGAGAUUUAAACCCAUGCCUAAAAUGAAACACGAGUCCAAGUAUACCACCACUUGGGCUAGUCCAAUAUUAUCUUUGGUGAGAACUUUGUCUCCAAACUCUAUCACACUUGAAGAGACCACAAGGAGUCAGCAUGCCUUAUCGUGUACCUGAAUAGACGAGGUUAUGACAAACUAUAGAGCUUAGAGAUGAGAAGGCUCGAAUCCCUAACCUAUAUAGUUUAUAGGUCAAUGGGAGAGCAUGGAAUUAAUCCAAGUGGUUUUAUACGUGUACUCAUACCUCAUUUAAGGUACGUGUUCAAACACCAUCAACUGCAAAUUUUUAUGUUCCUUUGACAAUUCACUUAUUCAAGUAUCCAACAAGACAACGUGUUUAGUAGUCUACUAACUCUAAACAAAUAAUACUUCACAAUUUUUUCUAAAAAUAUUUUAAAAAAUCCCAGAACUGAUUUGUAGGAUGUUUCACAUCAAUAAAAACAUAGAAU
rnacentral:lncRNA from 1 species